ACAAUCACUGAGAAUAAAAAACCUGUGACUAAAUACAGAAUUACUUUCAAUUUGUUCUCCGUGGAAGGCUGUGUUUACAGUAUAGGCUUUCAGUAAUGAUCGACUUUAGAAUGAAAAGAGACUGCUCCGUAACAAUUAUUGUUUUAAUUUAAUGUAUAAUUAAUGUCCUCAUGUAUUUUAGAAGUGGGAAAAAAUAUACAUAUUACUAAAGCAAUCUUAUUUGGUUCUUUAGCAUACAAAUGGGCGCCAGCAAGACUCCAUGGCUCUAGCCACUCCAGUAAUAUUGCUUGAUCCUGAACUAGCAGUCUUGAGGAGUUUUACAAUGGCAUUUGUGGUUCCAACAGUAAUCUGGGGAAGGUCUGCAGCAAAAAAUGUGAUGAAUUUUUUAAAAAUUCUGUCUGGUCUAUAAGUUGUGUCAAGAAAAGUCUAUCUGCUGGGAACUGUAUUCCAGUCAUCCAGCCUGUAACCAGCUAUAUUACUGAAUGACUAAACUAGUUCACAAUUUUUAAACAUUUCUACUUGUACAAUAACGCAUAUUAUCAUUCCAAGCAAAAGAAGCUAGUAGGUUUUGUGUAAUAAUCGUUGUUAUUCUUCUUUCAACUACUAAAACAGAAGCUAACAAUUUUUCAACAAGUGACACUAUUCUGUAACUGCAAGAAUCAUUUUUUUUACCUGAGUAAUAUGAGCUCUAGUACAUGAAAAAGAAUAUCCUAUUAGGAUCUGCUGUUUCAGGAAUUUAUACUACCACUUCUAAGUUUAAAGUGUACAUACCUAACAUGUUUCACCCUAUUAUUAAUGUUUGUACAACAAAUUAUUAAACAAAUAGAGAAUUUCCGUGUUGAUCUGCAGAUAUGAUAUGCUAAUGUAUGAACAAGAUGGCAAAAACAAAGAUGACUGUACAAACUCAUUUUUCUGUAAGUAUGCAAGGUCCUUUUCUCCUAUAUAUAAUAUAUGAAAACUGAAAAGUAUGGCACAAGAAAGUUGUAAAUCCAUGAAAACUAUAAUGUAAAUAAAACAUUUUGUUGCUGGUUCAUUCAACAAACAAAUGGAACAAAAUUUACAUGAAUUCAGUCUUACAUAGCAUCUUCAAAUGUGGUUUUAACAAAAAUUUGUACAAAUUAUUCACUUUAUACUUGUUUAUAAAAGAUACUGGCAUGCUCUUCUUUCCUUCAAAUGUAAUUCACUUACAUAUAGCUGGUUUAUGUAUAAAAAAGUGUAUACAAUAUUAUUGUAACAAUGAAACACCUGGAAAUUAAAAACAGAUAAACAUUUCAAAUUGAUUGUUCACAAGUAUAUACUGUUUUCAAAUUCCUGAUUUACAGCUUAUUAUUAUUACCGCUGGCAUCUAAUGAAGAUGGAGCUAUUCUGUUUUAAAAAUAUUCAUAACUUAUAGUUGGGCUGCAUGAUCAUGUUCCAACAGUUUAGUUAGUCUUGACACUCAUAAUAUAUAUUUAAAUAUAUGUGUAAUAUCUGAUAACUAUUGUAUUAAAAUGUCACAGCUAGAUAAUAAUAUGCAUGAAAACUUGUAUGAACAAAAGAACAUAAAAUAUACCUCACUAACAA